CUGAGAACUGUGGAAGACUCCCAGGAUCUCUUUCCUCUUGGAUUAUUCUCUUUUUAAAAUUAACACCCAAGCACUUACAAGGACUCCAUAAUUUCUUUUUUAUACUGUCUUGGAAUUGAGUUGUUUAACAGAUUACAUAAAAUAAGUAACAUUCACUUGAAGGGUUGGAAGACUCAGAUCCUGUGAUUGACCAACUCAGUUUAGACACAACUUUUGCUGCUUACAGCCACUAGGUCUAGCUAUAAGAAUUAUCUCACAUGAGUAGGAUAUCAAUAUCAGAUGAUUGGGAGGUUUUCUUCAUCCCUGAAGAGUGAUGGCUUGUGCUCCUGUUGACUCUUGCAGAAAUCCAUCAGCUUUGAAGAGGCAAAAAUGACAGGCCUGGAGAAUCAGACCUUCUUCCUAAGAAGAAAGGGUUCUUGGAAGCAUCCCUAUACAAAUUGUGAACUGAGAGACUUCAAAGAAGCUUUCUAUCUACAAAGGCCUAAAGUUCACUUCUCAUGUGAUCAUUAUCUACACCAAAAAACCCCAAAAAACUAAAACAAAAUACCAAACCCAAUAAACCUCAUUCUUCCUUUCACCUGAUUAUUUUAAUGCAGAUACAUUUUGUUAAACCUGGAAAAAUGCCAAAAGAAAAAAAAAAAAUCAUCUAGGUAUUCAAGGAAAUACCUAUGCU